ACGCUUGGCGGCGUGCUUAACACAUGCAAGUCGAACGGUAAGGCCCUUCGGGGUACACGAGUGGCGAACGGGUGAGUAACACGUGGGUGAUCUGCCCUGCACUUCGGGAUAAGCCUGGGAAACUGGGUCUAAUACCGGAUAGGACUCCUGGCUUCAUGGUUGGGGGUGUAAAGCUUUUGCGGUGUGGGAUGGGCCGCGGCCUAUCAGCUUGUUGGUGGGGUAAUGGCCUACCAAGGCGACGACGGGUAGCCGGCCUGAGAGGGUGACCGGCCACACUGGGACUGAGAUACGGCCCAGACUCCUACGGGAGGCAGCAGUGGGGAAUAUUGCACAAUGGGCGCAAGCCUGAUGCAGCGACGCCGCGUGAGGGAUGACGGCCUUCGGGUUGUAAACCUCUUUCAAUAGGGACGAAGCGCAAGUGACGGUACCUAUAGAAGAAGGACCGGCCAACUACGUG
rnacentral:rRNA from 1 species